rnacentral:rRNA from 1 species
CAGAGGGUGCAAGCGUUAAUCGGAUUUACUGGGCGUAAAGCGUGCGUAGGAGGCCGCAUAAGUCGGUUGUGAAAUCCCUGGGCUCAACCUGGGAAUUGCUUCCGAUACUGUGUGGCUAGAGUUCGGUAGAGGGUGGCGGAACUCCCGGUGUAGCGGUGAGAUGCGUAGAUAUCGGGAAGAACACCGAUGGCGAAGGCAACCACCUGGGCCUGAACUGACUCUGAGGCACGAAAGCGUGGGGAGCAAACAGGAUUAGAUACCCUGGUAGUCCACGCUGUAAACGAUGGAAACUUGACGUCGGUUUGCUCUGCGAAUCGGUGUCGAAGCUAACGCGCUAAGUUUCCCGCCUGGGGAGUACGGCCGCAAGGUUG